GAGCUCAACGAGAACAGAA
rnacentral:snRNA from 1 species